AUAUACAAUUAUGAGAGGACUGAUGGAUGAACAAUGAUGAACUAAACUAUAUUUUAAGUUGAAAUCAAUUACUUCAAACUACAAAAUAUAGGAUUAGUCUGUCCAUUUUUAUCAAUCAGUUUAUACUUUUUUCGUCAUUUUCCUAUGGCAAAAAAGUCCUUAAUCAAUACCUGUAACCGACUAAUCCUUCCAAUGACAAUUGGGGGGAUUUUUUU
rfam:Bacillus sp. B14905 1101159007464, whole genome shotgun sequence.